CCAAUAGCGUAUAUUAAAGUUGCUGCAGUUAAAAAGCUCGUAGUUGAAUUUCGGGACUAAUAUGUCGGUCGUGCCUCGGUACGUACUGGUUUAUUGGUUUCUCCUUUCUGAAGAACCAUGAUGUCAUUUAUUUGGUGUCGUGGGGAAUCAGGACUGUUACUUUGAAAAAAUUAGAGUGUUUAAAGCAGGCUUUAGCUUGAAUACAUUAGCAUGGAAUAAUGAAAUAGGACGUUUGAUCCUAUUUUGUUGGUUUCUAGGAUCGACGUAAUGAUUAAUAGGGAUAGUUGGGGGCAUUAGUAUUCAAUUGUCAGAGGUGAAAUUCUUGGAUUUAUUGAAGACUAACUACUGCGAAAGCAUUUGCCAAGGAUGUUUUCAUUAAUCAAGAACGAAAGUUAGGGGAUCGAAGACGAUCAGAUACCGUCGUAGUCUUAACCAUAAACUAUGCCGACUAGGGAUCGGAUGAUGUUAAUUUUUUAAUGACUCAUUCGGCGCCUUACG
rnacentral:rRNA from 1 species